rnacentral:rRNA from 1 species
AAGUCGAGCGGACCCUUCGGGGUCAGCGGCGGACGGGUGAGUAACACGUGGGUAAUCUGCCCAACUGACUGGAAUAACGCCUGGAAACGGUGCUAAUGCCGGAUAGGCAACUGGUAGGCAUCUACCGGUUGGGAAAGGUGCAACUGCACCGCAGAUGGAGGAGCCCGCGGCGCAUUAGCUAGUUGGUGGGGUAACGGCCCACCAAGGCGACGAUGCGUAGCCGACCUGAGAGGGUGACCGGCCACACUGGGACUGAGACACGGCCCAGACUCCUACGGGAGGCAGCAGUAGGGAAUCUUCGGCAAUGGGCGAAAGCCUGACCGAGCAACGCCGCGUGAGCGAAGAAGGCCUUCGGGUUGUAAAGCUCAGUCACCCGGGAAGAGCGGGCAGGAGAGGGAAUGCUCCUGUCGAGACGGUACCGGGAGAGGAAGCCCCGGCUAACUACGUG